AGUUGUAAAAUACAGUUUGCUGUUUAUACUUUGCAGCCAUUCAUUUUUGAGUGUGAAGUUUAAUGUCUUUCAUUUUUAUCGGUUCUUUUUUUCUUAUGGUUAAGCCAUGUGAAAAUGAAUUACAGUGUUACAGUUUCAAUAGUCAUGGGCAUUCCCACAGUGAAGAGAGAAGUUAAAUCUUACCUCAUAGAAACUCUUCAUUCCCUUAUUGAUAACCUGUAUCCUGAAGAGAAGUUGGACUGUGUUAUAGUAGUCUUCAUAGGAGAGACAGAUAUUGAUUAUGUACAUGGUGUUGUAGCCAACCUGGAGAAAGAAUUUUCUAAAGAAAUCAGUUCUGGCUUGGUGGAAGUCAUAUCACCCCCUGAAAGCUAUUAUCCUGACUUGACAAACCUAAAGGAGACAUUUGGAGACUCCAAAGAAAGAGUAAGGUGAGCAUGUGCCGUUUAAAAUCCUCCACACUUGUGAGUGUAAAUAUUUAAUACAUGUAGUUUUUAUUUAUCGAAGCUGAAAACAUUUUAGAGUUGAAUUUGGUAAAAUAUUCUAGGUAAGUCUCAUUAAGUCCAGGACAGCUUGGAAAUAAUGUGGAGUUUUCUUAGAAUAUGUAAAAACUUAAUAUCAGCUUUUAUUUUACUGUGUUUUCUUAAACUAGCUUUUAGAUCCACUUCUCUUAUGUGUUUCUGUAGGCUACCAGGAAUUCACUGACAGGGUUUAAUACUGUAAACUUAAAUAUGAAUUUUUUAAAUCACUCAGUACCUAUUUGUGAACUUUGAUCUGCGUGCAAACAGUCCUAGGCACCAGAGUAGGGACCCUAAAAGUGUAAUUUUUGAAGCACUCGUUUGAUGAAACAUUAAGAUAUUACUGAAAAAAGGGUCUGUGGUCAAGGAAGUUUGGAAAAAUAUGUAUUAAGAAUUUUUUUUC
rnacentral:sRNA from 1 species